GGGUUGUGAGGUUAAGCGACUAAGCGUACACGGUGGAUGCCCUGGCAGUCAGAGGCGAUGAAGGACGUGCUAAUCUGCGAAAAGCGCCGGCGAGGUGAUAUGAACCCUUGACCCGGCGAUGUCCGAAUGGGGAAACCCAGUGUGAUUCGUCACACUAUCGUUAACUGAAUACAUAGGUUAACGAGGCGAACCGGGGGAACUGAAACAUCUAAGUACCCCGAGGAAAAGAAAUCAACCGAGAUUCCCCCAGUAGCGGCGAGCGAACGGGGAGCAGCCCAGAGUCUGAAUCAGCUUGUGUGUUAGUGGAAGCGUCUGGAAAGUCGCACGGUACAGGGUGACAGUCCCGUACACGAAAAUGCACAGGUUGUGAACUCGAAGAGUAGGGCGGGACACGUGGUAUCCUGUCUGAAUAUGGGGGGACCAUCCUCCAAGGCUAAAUACUCCUGACUGACCGAUAGUGAACCAGUACCGUGAGGGAAAGGCGAAAAGAACCCCGGCGAGGGGAGUGAAAAAGAACCUGAAACCGUGUACGUACAAGCAGUGGGAGCACCUUCGGGUGUGACUGCGUACCUUUUGUAUAAUGGGUCAGCGACUUAUAUUCUGUAGCAAGGUUAACCGUAUAGGGGAGCCGAAGGGAAACCGAGUCUUAACUGGGCGUUAAGUUGCAGGGUAUAGACCCGAAACCCGGUGAUCUAGCCAUGGGCAGGUUGAAGGUUGGGUAACACUAACUGGAGGACCGAACCGACUAAUGUUGAAAAAUUAGCGGAUGACUUGUGGCUGGGGGUGAAAGGCCAAUCAAACCGGGAGAUAGCUGGUUCUCCCCGAAAGCUAUUUAGGUAGCGCCUCGUGAACUCAUCUUCGGGGGUAGAGCACUGUUUCGGCUAGGGGGCCAUCCCGGCUUACCAACCCGAUGCAAACUACGAAUACCGAAGAAUGUUAUCACGGGAGACACACGGCGGGUGCUAACGUCCGUCGUGAAGAGGGAAACAACCCAGACCGCCAGCUAAGGUCCCAAAGUCAUGGUUAAGUGGGAAACGAUGUGGGAAGGCCCAGACAGCCAGGAUGUUGGCUUAGAAGCAGCCAUCAUUUAAAGAAAGCGUAAUAGCUCACUGGUCGAGUCGGCCUGCGCGGAAGAUGUAACGGGGCUAAACCAUGCACCGAAGCUGCGGCAGCGACACU
rnacentral:rRNA from 1 species